UUUGGGCAUCAAGAGAGGACGUGUCCUCGCCAACCUGCCGACCCGGCGAAGGUGGCUCCCUCCCCGGAGGAGAUGCGGGCAAGAAGGCCGCACCCCCAUUCGGCCGCCAACAAUCGGGUUCAUU
rnacentral:ncRNA from 2 species